rnacentral:rRNA from 1 species
AACGUAGGACGCAAGCGUUAUCCGGAGUUACUGGGCGUAAAGCGCGGGCAGGCGGUUGGUCAAGUCUGAUGUGAAAUCUCCUCGCUCAACGGGGAGCAGCCAUUGGAAACUGGGCAACUGGAGUCUGGCGGAGGUAGGCGGAAUUCCGGGUGGAGUGGUGAAAUGCGUAGAGAUCCGGAGGAACACCAGAGGCGAAGGCGGCCUACUGGGCCAGUACUGACGCUGAGCCGCGAAAGCCAGGGGAGCGAACGGG